CGGACGGGUGAGUAACGCGUGGAAAACCUGCCGUAUACUGGGGGAUAACACUUAGAAAUAGGUGCUAAUACCGCAUAAGCGCACAGCUUCGCAUGAAGCGAUGUGAAAAACUCUGGUGGUAUACGAUGGUUCCGCGUCUGAUUAGCUAGUUGGUGGGGUAAUGGCCUACCAAGGCAACGAUCAGUAGCCGGCCUGAGAGGGUGAACGGCCACAUUGGGACUGAGACACGGCCCAAACUCCUACGGAAGGCAGCAG
rnacentral:rRNA from 1 species